ACCAGCAUGGUAUAGUGGUUUGAACAUUGGCCUGAGAUUCUGGAGACCAAGGUUCAAUUCCUUGCUUGGCC